AGGCCCUUUCCUGUCAGGCUCAGCAGGAGGUUGCAUACUAAUGCUCUACCUGCCUGUUAGAAGUGCAGACAGCUGACCUGAGAACAGAAGGUAGAGAACACAUGUCACGCCAUAGGUAUCAGAGUCCACUGGCCCAGCACUUCAGCAAGCCUCACAUCAUGACGGGGAGCAGGCUGCACAUGAGAAAACCAGCAAACCAGAUCGUUGUGAUCAGUGUGUCUCCUCAUCAAACAAAAUCCUCUCAAAUCUGCAAAGGACAAUGACCCAACACACUUCCAGGCUGUGUAAGGGCUAUUUGACCAAGGAGGAGAGUGAUGGAGUGCUGCAUCAGAUGACCUGGUCUCCACAAUCCCACAACCUCAACCCAAUUGAGAUGGUUUGGGAUAAGACCGCAGAGUGAAGGAAAAGCAGCCAACAAGUGCUCAGCAUAUGUGGGAACUCCUUCAAGACUGUUGGAAAAGCAUUCCAGGUGAAGCUGGUUGAGAGAAUGCCAAGAGUGUGCAAAUCUGUCAUCAAGGCAAAAGGUGGCUACUUUGAAGUAUCUCAAAUAUAAAAUAUAUUUUGAUUUGUUAAACACUUUUUUGGUUACUACAUGAUUCCAUAUGUGUUAUUUCAUAGUUUUGAUGUCUUCACUAUUAUUCUACAAUGUAGAUAAUAGUCAAAUUAAAGAAAAACCCUUGAAUGAGUAGGUGUGUCCAAACUUUUGACUGGUACUGUAUAUAUACAACUCAAGAAAAUAACCUUUUUUGACUGCAGCUAGGCCAUUCCACUAAUUCGGUGCCUUUUAAGAAGUGUAACGUGGUUAUUUCACCUAUUAAAACAAUUAUGUCAUAAAGAGCAAAUGUUCAACUUAAUAAAAAACUUGUUUUCCCAUCUAAAUCGGUUAAAUAAAAUUUUAAAAUGCUAUAGUAAAUGCCUUUUAAGUGCCAAAUAAAGUAACAGGGUUGACCAUAAGGUUGAUGAGUUCAUGUUAAAUCAGCCAUAAAUCCCCUUGUGACAGGGUGAAUGGAAGCUUGUGUGCAACAGGGAGUGGUAAUUAAAUGCAAGCUUCACAAUUUUUUAUUUAUUGUUGAAACAAUUGUAGCCUGUCUACAGUAGGUUGGUUGGAUGUGUUAUUUAUGAUUAAAUAUCCUCAAUUCAUAGUA